rnacentral:rRNA from 1 species
UGGGGAAUAUUGGGCAAUGGGCGAAAGCCUGACCCAGCAACGCCGCGUGAGUGAUGAAGGCCUUCGGGUUGUAAAACUCUUUGGACAGGGACGAAGAAAGUGACGGUACCUGUAGAACAAGCCACGGCUAACUACGCGCCAGCAGCCGCGGUAAUACGUAGGGCGCAAGCGUUAUCCGGAAUUAUUGGGCGUAAAGAGCUUGUAGGCGGUUCGUCGCGUCUGGUGUGAAAGCCCAUCGCUUAACGGUGGGUUUGCGCCGGGUACGGGCGGGCUGGAGUGCAGUAGGGGAGACUGGAAUUCCCGGUGUAACGGUGGAAUGUGUAGAUAUCGGGAAGAACACCAAUGGCGAAGGCAGGUCUCUGGGCUGUUACUGACGCUGAGAAGCGAACGCGUGGGGAGCGAACAGG